rnacentral:rRNA from 1 species
GCAAGUCGAGCGCAUCCUUCGGGAUGAGCGGCGGACGGGUUAGUAACGCGUGGGAAUAUGCCCUUCUCUACGGAAUAGCCAUUGGAAACGAUGAGUAAUACCGUAUACGCCCUUCGGGGGAAAGAUUUAUCGGAGAAGGAUUAGCCCGCGUUAGAUUAGAUAGUUGGUGGGGUAAUGGCCUACCAAGUCUACGAUCUAUAGCUGGUUUUAGAGGAUGAUC